rnacentral:rRNA from 1 species
CCCUAAGGCGAGGCCGAAAGGCGUAGUCGAUGGGAAACAGGUUAAUAUUCCUGUACUUGGUGUUACUGCGAAGGGGGGACGGAGAAGGCUAUGUUGGCCGGGCGACGGUUGUCCCGGUUUAAGCGUGUAGGCUGGUUUUCCAGGCAAAUCCGGAAAAUCAAGGCUGAGGCGUGAUGACGAGGCACUACGGUGCUGAAGCAACAAAUGCCCUGCUUCCAGGAAAAGCCUCUAAGCAUCAGGUAACAUCAAAUCGUACCCCAAACCGACACAGGUGGUCAGGUAGAGAAUACCAAGGCGCUUGAGAGAACUCGGGUGAAGGAACUAGGCAAAAUGGUGCCGUAACUUCGGGAGAAGGCACGCUGAUAUGUAGGUGAAGUCCCUCGCGGAUGGAGCUGAAAUCAGUCGAAGAUACCAGCUGGCUGCAACUGUUUAUUAAAAACACAGCACUGUGCAAACACGAAAGUGGACGUAUACGGUGUGACGCCUGCCCGGUGCCGGAAGGUUAAUUGAUGGGGUCAGCGCAAGCGAAGCUCUUGAUCGAAGCCCCGGUAAACGGCGGCCGUAACUAUAACGGUCCUAAGGUAGCGAAAUUCCUUGUCGGGUAAGUUCCGACCUGCACGAAUGGCGUAAUGAUGGCCAGGCUGUCUCCACCCGAGACUCAGUGAAAUUGAACUCGCUGUGAAGAUGCAGUGUACCCGCGGCAAGACGGAAAGACCCCGUGAACCUUUACUAUAGCUUGACACUGAACAUUGAGCCUUGAUGUGUAGGAUAGGUGGGAGGCUUUGAAGUGUGGACGCCAGUCUGCAUGGAGCCGACCUUGAAAUACCACCCUUUAAUGUUUGAUGUUCUAACGUGGACCCGUGAUCCGGGUUGCGGACAGUGUCUGGUGGGUAGUUUGACUGGGGCGGUCUCCUCCUAAAGAGUAACGGAGGAGCACGAAGGUUGGCUAAUCCUGGUCGGACAUCAGGAGGUUAGUGCAAUGGCAUAAGCCAGCUUGACUGCGAGCGUGACGGCGCGAGCAGGUGCGAAAGCAGGUCAUAGUGAUCCGGUGGUUCUGAAUGGAAGGGCCAUCGCUCAACGGAUAAAAGGUACUCCGGGGAUAACAGGCUGAUACCGCCCAAGAGUUCAUAUCGACGGCGGUGUUUGGCACCUCGAUGUCGGCUCAUCACAUCCUGGGGCUGAAGUAGGUCCCAAGGGUAUGGCUGUUCGCCAUUUAAAGUGGUACGCGAGCUGGGUUUAGAACGUCGUGAGACAGUUCGGUCCCUAUCUGCCGUGGGCGCUGGAGAACUGAGGGGGGCUGCUCCUAGUACGAGAGGACCGGAGUGGACGCAUCACUGGUGUUCGGGUUGUCAUGCCAAUGGCACUGCCCGGUAGCUAAAUGCGGAAGAGAUAAGUGCUGAAAGCAUCUAAGCACGAAACUUGCCCCGAGAUGAGUUCUCCCUGACCCUUUAAGGGUCCUGAAGGAACGUUGAAGACGACGACGUUGAUAGGCCGGGUGUGUAAGCGCAGCGAUGCGUUGAGCUAACCGGUACUAAUGAACCGUGAGGCUUAACCU